GAUGAACGCUGGCGGCGUGCCUAAUACAUGCAAGUCGAGCGAACAGACGAGGAGCUUGCUCCUCUGACGUUAGCGGCGGACGGGUGAGUAACACGUGGAUAACCUACCUAUAAGACUGGGAUAACUUCGGGAAACCGGAGCUAAUACCGGAUAAUAUAUUGAACCGCAUGGUUCAAUAGUGAAAGACGGUUUUGCUGUCACUUAUAGAUGGAUCCGCGCCGCAUUAGCUGGUUGGUAAGGUAACGGCUUACCAAGGCGACGAUGCGUAGCCGACCUGAGAGGGUGAUCGGCCACACUGGAGCUGAGACACGGUCCAGACGCCUACGGGAGGCAGCAGUAGGGAAUCUUCCGCAAUGGGCGAAAGCCUUACGGAGCAACGCCGAGUGAGUGAUGAAGGUCUUCGGAUCGUAAAACUCUGUUAUUAGGGAAGAACAAAUGUGUAAGUAACUAUGCACGUCUUGACGGUACCUAAUCAGAAAGCAACGGCUAACUACGUG
rnacentral:rRNA from 1 species